rnacentral:rRNA from 1 species
AUGUCUGGAAUGUCAUCUGAUGAUGCAAGUGCUGAAGUGAGGCUUGAAGGAGAAGUUUCUGGUGAAAAGGUACAAGAAACUCAAGAUCAGAAUGAAGGCAGUGGCAUGCCCUCGCCACAAGAGGAGGUACUGUCUUUUCCCGGUACCAUUUUUUUGGGGGUGAUCUUGGCCUCUUGGGUGUAUAUUAUUCAUGUUAUCUUCGUUCCAAGCUUGUAUGGGUACUCACAGGAGGCAGCAAUCAAGAAAAAAUAUGGAGGAAAAAUACCCAAAAAGUCACCACUUAUAUCGAAGGACCAUGAGCGGGCAUUCUUUGAUUCUGCUGAUUGGGCUUUAGGAAAGCAAGGUGGAAAUCCCAACAAGCCCAAAGGGCCCCUUGAAGCUCUUCGACCAAAACUCCAGCCUACUCAACAAAAUGCUCGUGCCCGCCGAUCUUCCUAUGCAUCUGCAGACAAUGAUGAGAGUUUGAGUUUGCCUGCCGAGGAGCUGAUCCAGAAUGAUGAUCCAACUGAAGACAAGAACAAGGAAUAA